rnacentral:lncRNA from 1 species
GUGAGGGGUCUGGAGCACAGGCCUCAUGAGGUGUGGCUGAAGGAGCUGGGAUUGUUCAGAGCAUCAAGAGGAUGCUCAGGGGAGACCUUAUUGCUCUCUACAAGUACCUGAAGGGAGGUUGUAGUGAGCUGGGGGUCAGCCUCUUCUCUUGUGUGACUAGUGAUAGGACUAGAGGGAAUGGCUUCAAGCUGCGCCAGGGAAGGUUCAGGCUGGAUGUUAGGAAAUACUACUUCUCUGAAAGGGUGUUCAGGCACUGGAAUGGGCUGCCCAGAGAGGUGGUGGAGUCACCGACCCUGGUGGUGUUCAAAGAGCAUUUGGAUGUUGUGUUGAGGGACAUGGUUUAGUGAGAAUCAUUGGUGAUGGGCGAAUGGUUGGACUGGAUGACAUUGAAUCACAUUCUCCUGAAAUUAUCUGUAAUAACUGUUAAGAGAAGCUCCUAAAAUGACAAAUAUGACAUUAACUCUUCUAGAUGUGUGAUCUAAGUCAUCUC